rnacentral:rRNA from 1 species
UAGGGAAUCUUCGGCAAUGGGGGGAACCCUGACCGAGCAACGCCGCGUGAGUGAAGAAGGUUUUCGGAUCGUAAAGCUCUGUUGUUAAGGAAGAACGAGUGUGAGAAUGGAAAGUUCAUGCUGUGACGGUACUUAACCAGAAAGGGACGGCUAACUACGUGCCAGCAGCCGCGGUAAUACGUAGGUCCCGAGCGUUGUCCGGAUUUAUUGGGCGUAAAGCGAGCGCAGGCGGUUAGAAAAGUCUGAAGUGAAAGGCAGUGGCUCAACCAUUGUAGGCUUUGGAAACUUUUUAACUUGAGUGCAGAAGGGGAGAGUGGAAUUCCAGGUGUAGCGGUGAAAUGCGUAGAUAUAUGGAGGAACACCGGUGGCGAAAGCGGCUCUCUGGUCUGUAACUGACGCUGAGGCUCGAAAGCGUGGGGAGCGAACAGG